AGCUGCACGGGGUCGCACGCCCGGGUGACGACGAGGUAGUCGCGCAGCGCGAUGCCGUGGCGGUUCUC
rnacentral:sRNA from 1 species